UACGGAGGGGGCUAGCGUUGUUCGGAAUUACUGGGCGUAAAGCGCACGUAGGCGGCUUUGUAAGUUAGAGGUGAAAGCCCGGGGCUCAACUCCGGAAUUGCCUUUAAGACUGCAUCGCUAGAAUUGUGGAGAGGUAAGUGGAAUUCCGAGUGUAGAGGUGAAAUUCGUAGAUAUUCGGAAGAACACCAGUGGCGAAGGCGACUUACUGGACACAUAUUGACGCUGAGGUGCGAAAGCGUGGGGAGCAAACAGGAUUA
rnacentral:rRNA from 1 species